rnacentral:rRNA from 1 species
GAUGAACGCUAGCGGCAGGCUUAACACAUGCAAGUCGCGGGGCAGCGGGGGAUGUAGCAAUACAUUCUGCCGGCGACCGGCGCAAGGGUGCGUAACGCGUGAGCAACAUGCCCGUCUCAGGGGGAUAACCGGUGGAAACGCCGCCUAAUACCCCAUGGUGACAUCCGGAGGCAUCUCCGGCUGUCUAAAGCUCCGGCGGAGACGGAUUGGCUCGCGUGACAUUAGCUGGACGGCGGGGUAACGGCCCACCGUGGCUACGAUGUCUAGGGGUUCUGAGAGGAAGGCCCCCCACACUGGUACUGAGACACGGACCAG